AUAUAUAUAUGUAUAUAUAUAUAUGUAUGUAUGUAUAUACAUACAUAUACAUAUAUAUAUGUAUAUACAUACAUAUAUAUAUAUGUAUAUAUAUAUAUAUAUAUACAUAUAUAUAUACUGUAUGUACUGUCUAAUAAUGUCACAUUGAAUCAGAUAACAGUCGUAGGAGACAUUUUACUGCACAAUAAGUACUUUUACUACAUAAUGUACAUGGUGCUGCUAAAAUAAGCAUUGUGUACUUAUGCAAGUACUUAAGUACAUAAUGCAAGAACAGAAAUAUCCAGAACUCCUGGUACAAAAACCCCAAACAGUUUAUCAGGAGAGAAGUCAAGCAGAGUGAAUGUGAAUGGUGACUACCUUAUCUACUACCUGUUUCAUGACUACAACUCACAUGCUAGGACAGAUGGACACAUGCUAGGACAGAUGGACACAUGCUAGGACAGACGGUUUCCACGUGAAAAACACUAAUAAAACAACUUUUCUUUGUA